CUCUUCUCGGGUGGAAGUCCCACAGGAAACAGAGGAGGGAGAGAAUACUUUGGGUCUUUCUGGGAAUGACUUCCCAAAGAAAAAAAAUAAGAAAAUGAUCAAGAGGAAGAUGAAGCCGACGGGCGAAAAGAGGGAGAACCCAGUCAUGAUGAAGACCUUCUACAUCGCUGCUGCUAUCGCCCACGACUCCAUGGAAGGCUGAUCUCCUCUCUAGGGCUGGAUGCAGCCCUAACAAAGAGACACGGAUUUUAUAUUUUAUAUUAUAUUCUUGGAGUUGUAUGAACUUAUUGUUUUUAAUGAAUAUCUUCUUUUAUUUCAUGUUUAAUUUCUGUGAUUUUAAAUGUGAAGUUUAUACAACUGUUCUUUAUGAUCACUAAGUAAAUAUAAGAUAGUCCAUGCUUAGGGAAGAUGCGAUGUGCUGCCACCUUAGAUUAGGGUAGACAUUUCAUGCCAACUGAAGAUGGAUUAUGCCUAAAUUACUUUUAUAAAUUUCUAUUCGAAUGCUUAUUAGGCUUGUAGCCAAUUUGCAUGUUAAUCUAAGAACAAAAUAAAUUAUAAAUAACCCUUGUCUCGAUGUUAGUGGUGAAUUCCUUGCUCUAGGUUCUCCUAAACUGAUAUCAUUUUAAUUAUAUUUUCUUUUAUUAAAUUGCUUAGUUUAAUAGUUUUCACAAAUU
rnacentral:lncRNA from 1 species